rnacentral:rRNA from 1 species
CCCUUAGACGUUCUGGGCCGCACGCGCGCUACACUGACCAGUGCAACAAGCAUCCGUCCUUGGCCGACAGGCCCGGGCAAUCUUUGAACGCUGGUCGUGAUGGGGAUAGACUUUUGCAAUUUUUGGUCUUCAACGAGGAAUUCCUAGUAAACGCAAGUCAUCAACUUGCAUUGAUUACGUCCCUGCCCUUUGUACACACCGCCCGUCGCACCUACCGAUUGAAUGGUCCGGUGAAAUCUUCGGAUCUGAGAGAUGUCUGAUUAAUUUCGGACGCCUUUUGGAAAAGUUGUUUAAACCUUACCAUUUAGAGGAAGGUGAANUCGUAACA